GGGGGCGCGUGGGUUCGACAGGGGAGGGCCUACAGGAUUGCAGGCUGAGGUGCCAUCCACCUCAAUAAACAGGUGGCAAACAAUAAACGAGAACGAUCUAGUUCCCGUCGCGGCCUAGUUAAGGUCGCGCGUCCACCCCGAUCUCUCCCGGUGGGUCGGGAGUGGGCGUAAGAAUGCCGGGGUGCUCCGGGUUUGGGCCGGCGAGACUCGGAUAAGAUGAGCCGGAUGGCGUGGCCUGACUCGGUCGGUGGACGAUGGUCAUGCGACGAAUUGGCGACCGACUAAGCCUGUAGCACAUUCUGGCAACCCUUUUCUGGACGGGGAGUUCAACCCUCCCCCGCCUCCACCA
rnacentral:tmRNA from 1 species